rnacentral:snRNA from 1 species
GUGCUCGCUUCAGCAGCACAUAUACUAAAAUUGGAACGAUAUAGAGAAGAUUAGCAUGGCCCCUGUGCCAGGAUGACACACAAAUUUGUGAAGCAUUCCAUUAAAAA